GAUCGAACAAGCGCAAAUGUUGGUGUUUAGGACUUGUUAUACAGUUAAAAUAGUGUUUGUGCACGGAGUAUGAUAGUAGCAGUGUACGUGUACAUCUGGCAACAAACUCCCGUGAAUUAACAUGACAAAUUAACGCCAAUGCAAGAACGCGCCAUUAAAAAUUGUUAUGCAAGUCGUCUAGACAUAAUAAAAAUGUUUACCUGAAAAAUGCAGAUUUCGCUCGUUGAAAUAGGUGAAAACCGGAUUUUUAUAGACUGCAAGCAAAACCUGUGCUACUAAAGAAUUCUUCCUAUCCACUGCGUAUUGCCUAAUCUGUAACGAUUCCCAAAUAGUACCACAAAAUUGUGGGGAGCAUUCUUCACUAGUACUGCAAUUUUGAUACUCUAGAGGGCAUAGACCACUAUAACAUAAGCUUAUUGACCAUCAUUAUUUACAAGGGUAGUUGCUUGUACUUGUACCAGACAAGUAACACAAUAAUCAGAUACAAUUAUAGAAGCUUAUAGUCAAAAUAAUUUCCAUUAUGAAAUAUAUAUAUUAUCUUGGAGCAUUAAUUGUUUAACACAUUUGGCAGCAAAAAGAACAACAAAGGGUAUGCAUUAAAUUCAAAAUGGUUAAGUAAUCGAAGUGAUGAAAGAUUAAAGAAUGCAAAUGCACAAAAGAAAGCAUCGACCCCGAGGAAAAAAGAUCUUGUAAAAUAGAAAAAUGAAGUUUUUAUUUUAUUAGGAUCGAUUAUGACACAAACACUUGCUGCUCCAUUUAAUAAUGCCAAAGUUUUAUUUGCACUUCUUUCAAAAAUUGGCAUAAAAACAGUGGUUGUGAUGUAAAAGCCAUUGUGACUUCUUUGUCAGAGUGUAUUUGGUUGUCUGUAUGAAGUAUAUGGUAUAAUACUCAAACUUUUAUGUCUGAAACUUCUUAUUUGUGCAGGUUAACGUGUUGAUUUACUGUUUUGUAUAUUUUGCUUUAAUUUAAACAAAUAAAACCAUUCAUUCACAUAUGUCAUACUUGUUAGUUGUUACAGCAUAGAACAAAACUUAGCAGACUUGUGUGGAACUCAGCUCGCAGAAACCCAAUGUUUUAGUAUGUAUGAGAAGAUUAUCAUUGUCUGAAUUAAUAGCAACAACCCAUCUGAAGUGUUUGCAGCACAUAAAUAACAGAACUUCAGCACAUAAAUAACGGAAUUUUAGUUAAACCAGU